UACGUAGGGUGCAAGCGUUAAUCGGAAUUACUGGGCGUAAAGCGUGCGUAGGCGGUUUUGUAAGUCUGUCGUGAAAGCCCCGGGCUUAACCUGGGAAUUGCGAUGGAGACUGCAAGGCUUGAAUCUGGCAGAGGGGGGUAGAAUUCCACGUGUAGCAGUGAAAUGCGUAGAGAUGUGGAGGAACACCGAUGGCGAAGGCAGCCCCCUGGGUCAAGAUUGACGCUCAUGCACGAAAGCGUGGGGAGCAAACAGG
rnacentral:rRNA from 1 species